rnacentral:lncRNA from 1 species
UUUGAUAUUUCAUCUUUUUGUGUAUUUAUUGAAUUUUUACUAACUCCGGCAAAUAUAUUAUAAUGUAGUCUUUUUAUUCUUAUUUUUAAUUCUUUACGUUUUUCAGAAAUAAUUUAUUUUAAUUCUUUGUAUUGUUGUACUUUAUUCAUUUUAAAUUAUAUUUAUAAUAUCUUGGCGGAUAUCUAAAUCUAAUUUUAUCAUAAUUAGGUGGUAUGUGUUUCAUUCUUCUAGAUUUUAAAUGGAUUAUUAAUUUUGAUUCAAUACUAGAUAUUAAUAUAAUUAAGUAGGCUAAUCUUUGUGGGUUUUCUUUUGUUUUAUUUAGACUUAUAUAUUCUGAAUAAUUACUAAUUAAAGAUUCUUUAAUUUUUCUAAAAGCUUUUCUAUUUUUAAAUGGUCUUUGCAUAAUUAAUUUAAUAAUAUAUAGGUAAAUUUAAAUAUCUCUAACAUAUAUCUCACUUCCAUAUUUUUUGACUUUCUGUGCUUUGAUACCAAUUGUAGGGG